GUCGGGAUAGCUCAGUUGGUAGAGCAGAGGACUGAAAAUCCUCGUGCCUAAUUAAAAAAAG
rnacentral:tRNA from 1 species